GGUCCCGAACAGGGCCAGCGAGUCUGUUGAUCCAGAGGGCCCCGAGCAGCAGUCCCCGCACACCGAGCAAAAGGCCUUCAGCGUGCUUGACCUCCUCAACAACUUCAAGCACUUAAUAAAGCCAGCCCUGAUAAUCUGCGUCAUUCUGGAUUUGUGGGGAAACUGCUAUCUGUUCCGGCUGCUGUGGGUUGCCUACCAGCUCUGGAGAGAUAUGUGAAGACAUCAGGCACAGGUAAGCGCUCGGGAUUCAUACUGCACAGAAGGGACUGAGGGUGGGGAGCGGGGAACCGCAAAGGUCUGGUCUGUGAGGGCUUCCAAGCAAAGCAGACCUCCAGAGGUCCAGCAGCUCUCCCCAGAGACUUGCCCGGCCCUAGGGCUGACAGCCAGCCGAGACUCCCAUGCAAAACGGGGCCUGCCGGAGGUGCCGUGAGCCCCACGGGCUGCCCCGAGCUGUCCUGGGACGCUGGAAAAGUGGCGCAAGAAUCAGAGCCCUGCAGGGCAAUGCUCUGCAAAACGAGCCUGCAUCCCUUUCUCUGCGCUCAUGCCCUGUCAUUUCCAGGGAACGGAACAAACGGCCUCAGCUUCAGAACGCAAACAGAGUGAUUUCCACAAGGCGCUUCUCUCCAUCUGGCAGCCUGUGGGUCAAAUGGUGACCGAAGGUGGCGCUGAAGGCACCUGCGAUGACAACAACAUCUUCCACUGGGGGGACACCAACCUCCCCCAGAUCAUCACCUCCAUUUUCCAUCAGUCAUGAAAUAAAUAACACCAUCAUUUCCACA